UACGUAGGGUGCAAGCGUUGUCCGGAAUUAUUGGGCGUAAAGAGCUCGUAGGCGGUUUGUUGCGUCGGCUGUGAAAUCCCGAGGCUCAACCUCGGGUCUGCAGUCGAUACGAGCAAACUAGAGUGUUGCAGGGGAGACUGGAAUUCCUGGUGAUAGCGGUGAAAUGCGCAGAUAUCAGGAGGAACACCGAUGGCGAAGGCAGGUCUCUGGGCCACUACUGACGCUGGAGAAGCGGAAAGCAUGGGGAGCGAACAGG
rnacentral:rRNA from 1 species